rnacentral:rRNA from 1 species
GACGAACGCUGGCGGCGUGCUUAACACAUGCAAGUCGAACGGAAAGGCCCUGCUUUUGUGGGGUGCUCGAGUGGCGAACGGGGGAGUAACACGUGAGUAACCUGCCCUUGACUUUGGGAUAACUUCAGGAAACUGGGGCUAAUACCGGAGAGGAGCUCCUGCUGCAUGGUGGGGGUUGGAGAGUUUCGGCGGUUGGGGAUGGACUCGCGGCUUAUGAGCUUGUUGGUGGGGUAGGGGCUUACCAAGGCUUUGACGGGUAGCCGGCAUGAGAGGGUGACCGGCCACAUUGGGACUGAGAUACGGCGCAGACUCCUACGGGAGGCAGCAGUCGGGAAUAUUGCACAAUGGGCGGACGCCUGAUGCAGCAACCCCGCGUGCGGGAUGCCGGCCUUCGGGUUGUAAACCGCUUUCGCCGGUGACGAAGCGUGCGUGACGGUAAUGGGUCAAGAAGCACCGGCUAACUACGUG